CUACGGGGGGCAGCAGUGAGGAAUAUUGCACAAUGGGGGGAACCCUGGUGCAGCAACGCCGCGUGGAGGAUGACGCAUUUCGGUGUGUAAACUCCUUUUAUAUGUCAAGAAAAUGACGGUAGCAUAUGAAUAAGCACCGGCUAACUCCGUGCCAGCAGCCGCGGUAAUACGGAGGGUGCAAGCGUUACUCGGAAUCACUGGGCGUAAAGGACGCGUAGGCGGAUUGGAAAGUCAGGUGUGAAAUCCUACAGCUUAACUGUAGAACUGCACUUGAAACUUCUAAUCUAGAGUAUGGGAGGGGGAGAUGGAAUUAGUGGUGUAGGGGUAAAAUCCGUAGAUAUCACUAGGAAUACCUAAAGCGAAGGCGAUCUCCUGGAACAUUACUGACGCUAAGGCGUGAAAGCGUGGGGAGCAAACAGGAUUAGAUACCCUUGUAGUC
rnacentral:rRNA from 1 species